UUAAUUUCUCCCGAUGAAGAAAUCAUUCGCAUCGUCGUUGCUGUUCGGCUUCAUUGCUUCGCAGGAGGUGUAAGAUUGCACGAGUGGCUUCUUCGGCUCCUUCGUUCUUGUGCGACUUCGCUCCUUCGAUGACUUUCCCUUUGCCUGUCGGAUCAGAAGUUGCGACAUUUUCAUCGGAAGUAAGGACAAAAGAUCGCAAGUUCUGAAGGUGGAAUCUCCUAACCAAGCAUCAAUAUUUCAUGAAUCCAAAGUUCAUGAUGAUGAAAUUUCAAUGUCCGAGCCACCAGCAGUUACUUGCAAUGGUUCAAAAGCUGGGUUUGCAAAGCUAAGUAAAUAUGAGAGCAAAAACUACAGCAGAAAUCACCAUGGUUUUUCACAAGAUGCAUAAAAUGGGGAUCUUCCCCCAAAAUUCUCACAAACUAAACAUAGAUCGCUCAGAUGGAUUCCCAAUCAUGCUGAAGAAGACACUGAUAAAAGUGCCUCUGAAGAUUCAGAAGAACUUUGCAAGGAAGUUAGGUGUAUUGAAAUGGAUGGAACCAGCCAAAGAGAAAACUUGAAUUUGACAUUCCCAGGAGUAAGCUACUCACCUGGGUUUGCAGAACCAGAGCAGUACGACUUUACACCCCCUCCCAGCUCACUGAGAGAUUUCCCUGGAAGGCCUCGGGCAUUGCUAAAUUAUAAUGCUGAAAAUGGAAACUUUUCAAGAGAUAGAUCUGUUAUGUUAGAGGGUAGUGUUUCUGAAAGCUUGCUUAAAGAGCAAGAUGAUAUUUCUUCUUCUAGAGAAGGCAUAACCACCAUCCAGGACUUUGUUUCAGGAUUGAAAGAGAUGGUUCAGGUUCAUCAAAAUCAGCUUGUUGAUGGUCAGACUGCCAGUGAAGUGUGUGGAGCUGAAGGAACAGGGAAGAGUGUUGGCCUUGAUACUAUCCUAGACCCAGUGGAUUCUCCAUCCCAUUGGCCACGGGACUUUGAGAAGAAGCAACAAGAGAUAAUCAAACUCUGGCAUGAAUGCAACGUUUCCUUGAUCCACAGAACAUACUUUUACUUGCUCUUCAAAGGCGACUCUGCUGAUUACAUUUACAUGGAAGUUGAGCUCAGGAGACUAGCUUUCCUGAAAAGAACAUUCUCGCAGGAAAACUCUUACAGAAUAUGGGGCGGGACCGGUCGGCUUGUGACUCUAGAAUCAAGCAAAGCUUACAACUGAAGAUUGGAUGGAGUGCUUUUCUCUUCCGACUGCAGAAGCUUUGGUGUGACUUGAAGGAGGCGAUCAAUCAGUAGAGCAUCUAUCAUAUUUUUAUGAACUUUGCUUUGAGGAAGAUAUGAUGCCAAGCAGGCUUGCCUACUUGUACUCCAAGUUGAAGUUCUUUGCAUCCGAAAUGUGUAUUGAUGGAUAUGGAGCUAGAUCUCACACUGCAGCAGUACAAGAUAUUGAUUGGUGUUAGUAUUGCUACAAAUUAAUGUUGUCAUUUACCUUUGAUAGAGUUGAUUUUGUAAUUUUAUAUUUAUUUACACAAAAUUUAAUGAAAGAUUUUUAUGUUAA